AAGAAACAACUGGCCAUGUGUGCCACGCUAUGACGCUAGCUACGUAACAACACGUCGGCUGGCUACAAGAAUCCAGCGCGCCUCGCUGGCGCUCAUAUGGACUCGCUCGUAGGCUCGUAGCCUUCCUCCGUUUUCUCUACCACGAGGCUCUGCUCAGUUAUCCGUAUCCCCCGACCUCCUCCCACCAGCAUACCAGGACCUUCCCUUGGAUGCGACGCCGCUGCCGUCUGCGCCCACCGCCGCCGGGAUCCUGCCCCAUCCCAUCCCCUCCCCCACAAAGCUCCGCCACCCGCCGGGAUCCCCCCUCCCCUCCCCCCGAACGGGAGGUUCUGGCAGCGUCGGCACGUUUGCUCGGACGGGGCGGCGGCGGUCGCCAGCACGCGCGGGGGCUAGCUGGGCCUGUGGUGGAGGGAGGCGGUCUGGUGGUGGUGCUGCUUGCCUGCUUGUUUGCCGGUGACGCAAGGAUUCUGGGUCGGCUUGGAUCGUGGCCCAUCAUGGCUGCAUGAAUUUUUUCUGUAUCUUAAGAUUGGCUCCCACCGCCGGAAGCAACAGCUCCACCGCACAACAAUGACGCUGCGGGUGUCGCUCUCGAGCGCCAGUUCAUGGUCCCCGCGCCCGUCUACCUGUGCAAUGCGGCCGCUAACAUGGGCAGCUCGAUGAGGAACGCCGGCGGCGCCCGCGUGCACUCGUGGAUGGCCAGGCUCAGCCGGCCGCGGCGGUGCCCGAAGAGCGACACCGCCGGUGCGUGGUCCGCGAGGAGGGCCCUGCUGCCGCUGUGCUGCCCGAGCAGCGCGCCCAUCUUGAGCGCCAUGACGGCUCGCCCCAUUCCUGGGCUCGGGCGGCGCGGACGCCCGCCGCGACGCAUCACCCCUUCCUUGGCUCCUGCGGCGUGGACGCCGGCGGCAAGCCGCGACGCGUGCCCGGCGGUGCAGAACGCAAAUGGAUAAGCGGCGGUGGUUCCUGGUAGUGAACUAGUUUAAUUAAGUAUCGCGGGGUCGAUUUCUAACUAAUGGAGGGUCUUUUUUGCAAAAACGAAGCGUUUCCUCAUGUUAAAAUAGGACUGCGGGUUGAUUUCUUAGAAACAGAGGGGCUUUUUUGCAAAAUCGCUAGCGACGACGGACGAACAGAAACCCAAUUUUCUUUAUUAUUAGGUAAAGAUAACGAUUUCUUUGGUUUCUUGUUUCUUUCUUGAUUUUCACUGGUUUUUUUCUUUUCUUUGUUCGUUUUUGUUAUACUUUGAUUAUUUUGUUUCUUUUUCGAUUUUCUCCGGUAUUCCUUUUCUUUCGUUUCCUUUGUUUCUUUCUCGGGUCUCAUUCAUUUUCUUUGUUUCUCCUUUUGGUUUUGUCAGGUUUUUUCAUUCUAUUUUUGUAUAGAACAUCAACAUUUUUUAUGCACAUUUAACAUUUGUUCAAGUACAUGAAGAAUUGUUUCCGCUGAACAUCUUUUUUUCUAAUACCUGGUUUCUUUUAACACAUACAUUUUUGUUCCAUUUUUUUUAUAGACAUUCUACCAUUUUUGUAAACAUCAGAAAAUUUUAUACCGAUAUUUAAUUUCUUAUAAAUAGAUCAUUAACAUUUUUUAAUA